rnacentral:rRNA from 1 species
UGCAGUCGAGCGGUAGCAAGAGAUCUUGCUUUCUGGUGACGACCGACGGAUGGGUGAGUAAUGUCUGGGAAACUGCCUGUUGGAGGGGGAUAUCUACUGGGAACGGUAACUAAUACCACAUACUGUCGCAAAACCCAAGUGGGGGACCUUCCGGCCUCUUGCCAUCGAAUGUGCCCCGAUGGGAUUAGCUAGUGGGUGGGGUAACGGCUCACGUAAGCAACUAUCCCUAGCUGGUCUGAAAGGAUGACCACCCUGACUGGAACUGACACACCGUCCUCACUCCUACGGGAGGCAUGGGUGGGGAAUAUUGCACAAUGGGCGCAAGCCCCAUGCAUCCCUGCCGCGUGUAUGAAGAAUGCCUUUUGGUUGUAAAUUACUUUCAGCGGGAAGGAACGUUAUUUAGUUAAUAACCUUGUUGAUUGUUAUUCCCCGCAUAAGAACCACCGGCUAACUCCGUGCCAGCAGCCGCGGUAAUACGGAGGGUGCAAGCGUUAAUCUUAAUUACUGGGCGUAAACCGCACGCAGGCGGUCUGUCUCAUCUGAUGUGUCAUCCCCCGGCUCUCCUGGGAACUGCAUUCACAACUGGCCUGCUAGUGUCUUGUAGGAUGGGGGUAGAAUUCCUGUGUAGCGGUGAAAUGCGUAGACAUCUGGAAGAAUACCGGUGGCGAGCGCCGCCCCCUGGACAAACACUGACGCUCAUGUGCAAAAUGUGGAGAGCACACAAGAUUAUAUACUCUGGUACUCCACCCCAUACAAUAUGUCGAUUUCGAUGUUGUGCUCGUGACUCGUGUCUUCCAGAUCUAACGAGUUAUAUACACCCGCGUGGGAGAGUAGUGCCGCAACGAUAACACACAUAAUGAAUUUCACGGGGCGCGCGC